GCUUACGGCCUUACCAGCCUGNNUACGCCCGAUCUCGUCCGAUCUCGGAAGCUAAGCAGGGUCGGGCCUGGUUAGUACUUGGAUGGGAGACCGCCUGGGAAUACCAGGUGCUGUAAGCUU
rnacentral:rRNA from 1 species